UUGCCAGCAAAGAGAUUGACGCCUGUCUUAGGGUCACAGGGAGGAUGCCUGUGGUGAGGGCUUCUUUAAACGUUGCUUGAAGGGUGAGUGCCAGAUGAGAGAAAAACCUUGUAUAAAAUGUGAUUGUAAAACCAUCUGGGCCUGGUUAUUUGUUAUUCUGCAUGGAUUUAAUAGCUGCAACAAUUUUGGGAACUGUGAUAUCAGUGGCCAGCAUAGAGUUUUGUUUCUCGGGGACAGUGGGCAUUUUUAAACCUUCAAAAAAAGCAUGUGAGGGGUCGAGGUCUGUAAAGGGAAGAAACCUUUUGUCUAUCCAUCUUGGAGCCAACCCCUGCUGGCGUGCAGACUAGAUCAGAACGAAAAAACGUUUAUUCCUGUAGCUUGAAAAUAAUUGACACCCACAUGGUAGGAUCUUGUUUGUUACCGGAAGUAACCUCAAAACACAUGGAUUUGGAAAUAACGCCUUCUUUUGGGGGACGACAGACCAAUGGAGAGAGUUUUCAUCCAAGGAACCACCUCCAACUUCAAGGGAAUGUAUUGGUGAAACUUAGAAAUGUUUGGCACUGUAAAAUGUGAAUCGACAAGGCCAUCUUUUCAGUCCGCUGCAGCGUAAAACUUAUUUUUGUCAUGCCAUUUUCUUAUUAAAUCUUUUUGUUAAUCUUUA